rnacentral:rRNA from 3 species
GCUGGUGACCAAGCGUAGGUAAACCACCCGUUCCCAUCCCGAACACGGUCGUAAAGACCUACUGCAGCGACAAUACUUGGCGGGCCACCGCCUGGGAAGAUAGCCCGUUGCCAGCA